rnacentral:tRNA from 1 species
GGUCCCAUCGUCUAGUGGUUAGGACACGACCCCUUCAAGGUCGUGACACGGGUUCGACUCCCGUUGGGACCG